AGUGGCGAACGGGUGAGUAACACGUAGGGAACCUGCCCGCGCACCGGGAAUACGCUCUGGAAACGGAGAACAAAUCCCGAUGUACAGGAAGGAGGCAUCUUCUUUCUGUGAAACAUCCUUUAGGGGAUGGGGCGCGGAUGGACCUGCGGUGCAUUAGUUUGUUGGCGGGGUAAAGGCCCACCAAGACGAUGAUGCAUAGCCGGCCUGAGAGGGCGGACGGCCACAUUGGGACUGAGACACGGCCCAGACUCCUGCGGGAGGCAGCAGUAGGGAAUUUUCGUCAAUGGGCGCAAGCCUGAACGAGCGAUGCCGCGUGAGUGAAGAAGGCCUUCGGGUCGUAAAGCUCUGUUGCGGGGGAAAAAAGGCAGCAUCAGGAAAUGGGUGCUGACUGAUGGUGCCCCGCCAGAAAGUCACGGCUAACUACGUGCCAGCAGCCGCGGUAAUACGUAGGUGGCGAGCGUUAUCCGGAAUGAUUGGGCGUAAAGGGUGCGCAGGCGGUCCUGCAAGUCUGGAGUGAAACGCAUGAGCUCAACUCAUGCAUGGCUUUGGAAACUGGAGGACUGGAGAGCAGGAGAGGGCGGUGGAACUCCAUGUGUAGCGGUAAAAUGCGUAGAUAUAUGGAAGAACACCAGUGGCGAAGGCGGCCGCCUGGCCUGUUGCUGACGCUGAGGCACGAAAGCGUGGGGAGCAAAUAGGAUUAGAUACCCUAGUAGUCCACGCCGUAAACGAUGAGGACCA
rnacentral:rRNA from 1 species